rnacentral:rRNA from 1 species
UACGUAGGGUGCGAGCGUUGUCCGGAAUUAUUGGGCGUAAAGGGCUCGUAGGCGGUUUGUCGCGUCGGGAGUGAAAACACACAGCUUAACUGUGUGCUUGCUUCCGAUACGGGCAGACUAGAGGUAUGCAGGGGAGAACGGAAUUCCUGGUGUAGCGGUGAAAUGCGCAGAUAUCAGGAGGAACACCGGUGGCGAAGGCGGGACUCUGGGCCGAUACUGACGCUGAGGAGCGAAAGCGUGGGGAGCGAACAGG